CGAGCGGUAACAGAUCUAGCUUGCUGGAUGCUGACGAGCGGCGGACGGGUGAGUAAUGCAUAGGAAUCUGCCCGAUAGUGGGGGAUAACCUGGGGAAACCCAGGCUAAUACCGCAUACGUCCUACGGGAGAAAGGGGGCUCCGGCUCCCGCUAUGGGAUGAGCCUAUGUCGGAUUAGCUAGUUGGUGAGGUAACGGCUCACCAAGGCCACGAUCCGUAGCUGGUCUGAGAGGAUGAUCAGCCACAUCGGGACUGAGACACGGCCCGAACUCCUACGGGAGGCAGCAGUGGGGAAUAUUGGACAAUGGGGGCAACCCUGAUCCAGCCAUGCCGCGUGUGUGAAGAAGGCCCUCGGGUUGUAAAGCACUUUCAGCGAGGAAGAACGCCUAACGGUUAAUACCCGCUAGGAAAGACAUCACUCGCAGAAGAAGCACCGGCUAACUCCGUGCCAGCAGCCGCGGUAAUACGGAGGGUGCAAGCGUUAAUCGGAAUUACUGGGCGUAAAGCGCGCGUAGGUGGCUUGAUAAGCCGGUUGUGAAAGCCCCGGGCUCAACCUGGGAACGGCAUCCGGAACUGUCAAGCUAGAGUGCAGGAGAGGAAGGUAGAAUUCCCGGUGUAGCGGUGAAAUGCGUAGAGAUCGGGAGGAAUACCAGUGGCGAAGGCGGCCUUCUGGACUGACACUGACACUGAGGUGCGAAAGCGUGGGUAGCAAACAGGAUUAGAUACCCUGGUAGUCCACGCCGUAAACGAUGUCGACCAGCCGUUGGGUGCCUAGCGCACUUUGUGGCGAAGUUAACGCGA
rnacentral:rRNA from 1 species